GAUGAACGCUGGCGGCGUGCUUAAUACAUGCAAGUCGAACGGACAGGUGCUGCUCUUGCUGCUCUCUCGUGUGGCGCACGCGUGAGUAACACGCGUGUAUACUGCCCUUGUCUUUGGGAUAACUUUUGGAAACUCCGGCGCAAAUCGCAUAUGAUAUCCUGCUGCGUGUUGGUGAAUGGUAAGUUUCGGCGGUUGUGGAUGGUCUCGCGGCUUAUGCGCUUGUUGGUGGGGUAGUGGCUUACCAAGGCUUCGACGGGUAGCCGGCCUGAGAGGGGUAACGGCCACAUUGGGACUGAGAGACGGCCCAGACUCCUACGGGAGGCAGCAGUGGGGAGUAUUGCACAAUGGGCGGGGGCCUGAGGCAGCAACGCCGCGUGCGGGAUGACGGCCUUCGGGUUGUAAACCGCUUUCGCCUGUGACGAAGCGUGAGUGACGGUAAUGGGUAAAGAAGCACCGGCUAACUACGUG
rnacentral:rRNA from 1 species